AUCUAAGUACCCCGAGGAAAAGAAAUCAACCGAGAUUCCCCCAGUAGCGGCGAGCGAACGGGGAGGAGCCCAGAGCCUGAAUCAGCAUGUGUGUUAGUGGAAGCGUCUGGAAAGGCGCGCGAUACAGGGUGACAGCCCCGUACACAAAAGCGCAUGUGCUGUGAGCUCGAUGAGUAGGGCGGGACACGUGGUAUCCUGUCUGAAUAUGGGGGGACCAUCCUCCAAGGCUAAAUACUCCUGACUGACCGAUAGUGAACCAGUACCGUGAGGGAAAGGCGAAAAGAACCCCGGCGAGGGGAGUGAAAAAGAACCUGAAACCGUGUACGUACAAGCAGUGGGAGCACAGGUUUACCUGUGUGACUGCGUACCUUUUGUAUAAUGGGUCAGCGACUUAUAUUCUGUAGCAAGGUUAACCGUAUAGGGGAGCCGGAGGGAAACCGAGUCUUAACCGGGCGUUAAGUUGCAGGGUAUAGACCCGAAACCCGGUGAUCUAGCCAUGGGCAGGUUGAAGGUUGGGUAACACUAACUGGAGGACCGAACCGACUAAUGUUGAAAAAUUAGCGGAUGACCUGUGGCUGGGGGUGAAAGGCCAAUCAAACCGGGAGAUAGCUGGUUCUCCCCGAAAGCUAUUUAGGUAGCGCCUCGUGAAUUCAUCUCCGGGGGUAGAGCACUGUUUCGGCUAGGGGGCCAUCCCGGCUUACCAACCCGAUGCAAACUGCGAAUACCGGAGAAUGUUAUCACGGGAGACACACGGCGGGUGCUAACGUCCGUCGUGAAGAGGGAAACAACCCAGACCGCCAGCUAAGGUCCCAAAGUCAUGGUUAAGUGGGAAACGAUGUGGGAAGGCCCAGACAGCCAGGAUGUUGGCUUAGAAGCAGCCAUCAUUUAAAGAAAGCGUAAUAGCUCACUGGUCGAGUCGGCCUGCGCGGAAGAUGUAACGGGGCUAAACCAUGCACCGAAGCUGCGGCAGCGAACGUAUCACCCAAGACAACUUUACGGAGUUGACGAUUGACGGAGCGAAGCGACGUCAAAGCGUUCAUUAAAGUCGAGUUGGCUUAGGGAUACGUUCGUUGGGUAGGGGAGCG
rnacentral:rRNA from 1 species